UGGCUCUGGCAUCGAUGAAGAACGCAGCGAAAUGCGAUAAGUAAUGCGAAUUGCAGAAUUCAGUGAAUCAUCGAAUCUUUGAACGCACAUUGCGCCCCUUGGUAUUCCGAGGGGCAUGCCUGUUCGAGCGUCAUUAUCACCCCUCAAGCCUAGCUUGGUGUUGGGGCUCGCUGUAAAGGCGGCCCUUAAAUGCAGUGGCGGUGCCUUCAGGCUCUGAGCGUAGUAAAUCUAUCGCUAUAGAGCCCUGAGGGUGCCACGCCAAAACCCCAAAUUUUUUAAUGAUUGACCUCGGAUCAGGUAGGGUUACCCGCUGA
rnacentral:misc_RNA from 1 species